UACGGGAGGCAGCAGUGGGGAAUAUUGCACAAUGGGCGCAAGCCUGAUGCAGCCAUGCCGCGUGUAUGAAGAAGGCCUUCGGGUUGUAAAGUACUUUCAGUCGUGAGGAAGGUAUUAAGGUUAAUAACCUUAGCAAUUGACGUUAGCGACAGAAGAAGCACCGGCUAACUCCGUGCCAGCAGCCGCGGUAAUACGGAGGGUGCGAGCGUUAAUCGGAAUUACUGGGCGUAAAGGGCACGCAGGCGGUUAAUUAAGUUGGAUGUGAAAUCCCCGGGCUUAACCUGGGAAUGGCAUUCAAGACUGGUUAGCUAGAGUCUUGUAGAGGGGGUAGAAUUCCAUGUGUAGCGGUGAAAUGCGUAGAGAUGUGGAGGAAUACCGGUGGCGAAGGCGGCCCCUGGACAAAGACUGACGCUCAUGUGCGAAAGCGUGGGGAGCAAAC
rnacentral:rRNA from 1 species